rnacentral:piRNA from 1 species
UCAGGAACUAGUUUCUUGGAAGGUGCUCUUA